rnacentral:rRNA from 1 species
UACGUAGGAUGCAAGCGUUGUCCGGAUUGACUGGGCGUAAAGCGUGUGCAGGGCGGAUGACCAGGUAGAUUUGUGAAAGCCCCCCGGCUUAACUGGGGGAGGGUCAGUCUAAACCGGGUCUCUGGAAGCAGACAGAGGAGUAGGGAAUUCCCGGUGUAGUGGUGAAAUGCGUAGAGAUCGGGAGGAACACCAGCGGCGAAGGCGCUACUCUGGGUCUGGCUUGACGCUCAGACACGAAGGCGAGGGGGAGCGAAACAGG